rnacentral:rRNA from 1 species
CACGUAGGGUGCGAGCGUUGUCCGGAAUUAUUGGGCGUAAAGAGCUCGUAGGCGGUGUGUCGCGUCGGCCGUGAAAACCUGCAGCUUAACUGUGGGCGUGCGGUCGAUACGGGCAUCACUGGAGUUCGGCAGGGGAGACUGGAAUUCCUGGUGUAGCGGUGAAAUGCGCAGAUAUCAGGAGGAACACCGGUGGCGAAGGCGGGUCUCUGGGCCGAUACUGACGCUGAGGAGCGAAAGCGUGGGGGAGCAAAACAGG